UACGUAGGUGGCAAGCGUUGUCCGGAUUUAUUGGGUUUAAAGGGUGCGUAGGUGGUCAAUUAAGUCAGUGCUGAAAUAUCCCGGCUUAACCGGGAGGGUGGCAUUGAUACUGAUUGACUUGAGUGGAGUUGAGGUAGGCGGAAUUGACGGUGUAGCGGUGAAAUGCUUAGAUAUCGUCAAGAACACCGAUAGCGAAAGGCAGCUUC
rnacentral:rRNA from 1 species